rnacentral:rRNA from 1 species
CCUACGGGAGGCAGCAGUAGGGAAUUUUCGGCAAUGGGGGGAACCCUGACCGAGCAACGCCGCGUGAAGGAAGAAGGAAUUCGGUCUGUAAACUUCUGUUAUAAAGGAAGAAAGACGGAUGGAGGAAAUGACAGCCGAGUGACGGUACUUUAUGAGAAAGCCACGGCUAACUACGUGCCAGCAGCAGCGGUAAUACGUAGGUGGCAAGCGUUAUCCGGAAUAAUUGGGCGAAAAGAGGGAGCAGGCGGCACCUAAGGUCUGUGGUGAAAGACUGAACCUAAACUUCAGUAGGCCAUAGAAACCGGGCAACUAGAGUGCAGAAGAGGAGCGUGGAAUUCCAUGUGUAGCGGUGAAAUGCGUAGAUAUAUGGAGGAACACCAGUGGCGAAGGCGACGAUCUGGCCUGCAACUGACGCUCAGUCCCGAAAGCGUGGGGAGCAAAUAGGAUUAGAUACCCUUGUAGUC